GCCGUCGCCACUGGUGGCAACUGGGGGUAUUCACAAGUCUUCCCUCCGUCAUCUCCACCCAUGUAUGCUGGGAUGGUGGGGACUGGAACCGUAUUUCAGGCUGCUAAUUUCUUGAACUCUUGCUACCUGUGCAAGAAGAAGCUUCAUGGGCUUGACAUUUUCAUGUACAGGGGAGUCAAGGCAU